rnacentral:lncRNA from 1 species
AGCUUUGCUCAUCGCCAUAGUUGGAUUUGGAGGAGAGAUAUCUUUGACUAGGGUAUUUUCUAUACGUCUUUGCUCUGGAGCUGAUUUCAAAUUUCAGAGGAAGUCUGGGAAAAGGGUCAAAUUCUCCAUUGUUCUUUCACAAAUGGUUCAAAUUCGCCUCCGUUAAUAUUUGGGUCAAAUGUAUUUUUUGUCUUAUCUAAAUAUGUCACAAUGGAGGCUGAGAUGGUUCGAACGUGUGAAUUGAAAUGUCUGAUGCCCCAGUGAGAUUGAUAAUUGUGGGUAUGAGGAGAUAUAGAAUUAAACCGAACAAGUAUUUGGAUGUGGUAAUUAGGCGGGACAUGACAAGGUUAGUAGGCAAUCGAGCAUCUUUUUUCUCAUACCAGUAAUGGUAGUGUUAAUCUUGUAUUUCGGUGGGAUUGAUUAUGGUUGGUAUGAGGAGACAUCCAAAUAAACCGAACAAGUAUUUGGAUGAGGUAAUUAGGCGGGAUAUGACAAGGUUAGUAGGCAAUCGAGCAUCUUUUCUCUCAUACCAGUAAUGGUAGUGUUAAUCUUGUAUUUCGGUGGGAUUGAUUAUGGUGGGUAUGAGGAGACAUCCAAAUAAACGGAACAAGUAUUUGGAUGAGGUAAUUAGGCGGGAUAUGACAAGGUUAGUAGGCAAUCGAGUAUUUUUUCUCUCAUACCAGUAAUGGUAGUGUUAAUCUUGUAUUUCGGUGGAAUUGAUUAUGGCGGGUAUGAGGAGACAUCCAAAUAAACCGAACAAAUAUUUGGAUGAGGUUAUUUGCAAAAAUCAAUUUGCAAAAAUUCACAAAAAGAUGUUCAAUUCAUUCAUCCAAUUAAGUCAAAAAAUACGCAAAAUCCCAAAUACGAAAAAUAUGUAACAAACAAAAAGCAUAAAACCAAAAAUCCAACAGAAGGAAUUAAAGAAGAGAAGAAGAAGAAGAAGAAGAAAGAAGAAGAAGAAGAGGAGACAAACACAUCAUAUAUAUUAAACUACUGGUGAUGAAUUCUUCCAAAAUCUUUCUCCAAAAUACCUAAAAACAACACAAAUACUCUCACUCAUUAGCAAAAGUUAUGAAAAAAUCACAUAAAAUUGAAUCUUAAACUAAUUGAAAAAGAAUCUAACUUGCUGAACUGGAAACAGAAUCUCUUGUCAAUCCGGAAUGGGAGAAACUCGGAAGCUAAAGAACCAAAAAAAAUGGAUCUAUGAGAGAAAUGAUUCAAAGGGGCUUUAAUAAUUUGAAGAGACUCUAAGAACUGCAGUGAAAUUUCUGAAAAAGAAUGAGAAAAAGAAUUGAUCAAUGGGAAUUAAUAAGAGAAGGUAACGUGAUCACCCGCC